GAUUUGCAGAUCUCGAAAAGAGAAGAGAAAUAUAAAGAGAACGUUCCGGGCUAUGACCUCCGACGACGAUAAAGCAGGUCAUUACCUAAGUUCAGCACAUAAGCAGGGUUUGCUGUGUUAAGGGAUGGCCAAAGAAGGGAUUACAUCAUCAUCCCAGCAUCAGCAACUUUCUUUCUUUUCAAAACUGCAGCAUACCAGUAGUAUAAUAAGACUAAACAUCCACAACUUUUGUACGAAGCUAAGUUGUACAAUGCAGAUUUAUAUGUUUAUCUUUUAUUUCACUCUGAAUGAUAUGAUUUGUAAUGUUUUAUUUUCACUUGUAGGUGGUAUACCUUCCAUAAAAUGGUCCGGUGUAGAUGGAGAGGAUAAUGUUUUAAUUAUUGAUUUGCUAGGACCGAGUCUUGAGGACCUGUUUGUGUAUUGUGGGAGGAACUUUCAAUUGAAAACAGUCUUGAUGUUGGCUGAUUAAAUGGUAAGUUGUGUAUACACCAUAU